AAACUUUGUGCGCGCGUCCCCGGUGGAUCCUCCGCCGCUUCCAUGAGGCGCGUGCGGUGAUUUUUUCCCCCCGUCCGGUGGAUUUAGUUUGAGGCAGCAGCAUCAUGUGGACGCCGACGGAGGACGAGAAGAUCGGAGUUGUCAUCUGCAACUUCCGGGGCUCGGUGAGUCAGGGCCUGGCCCUGGAGGUGGGAGAGACGGUGCAGAUUCUGGAGAAAUGUGAAGGGUGGUACAGAGGAUUCUCAACCAGGAGGCCAAAUGUCAAGG